AUUGACAAGGAUGCAGAUUAGCUUGUCUGCACUGAGUCUGCAGAGUAAGAAAAAAAGAUCAAGGACUGAAAGCCAGAGAAACAGCAUCUAAGAGAUGAGCCAGAGAAGAGGAGCCCAAGGUGGGAUAUGAGGGGGAGUGGUCAGAAAGCUAGAAGAAAAACCUGGAGGCUGUGGGACACAAUCUCCUUGAAAAAAUCUGAAGAGCAAGCAAAGUCAGCAUUGCCAGAUGCUUGAAAGUGACCAUAUUGCGACUGAAACAAGGCAUAACAGGUCUUUGACUGGCUAUCCUGUGGAUGUGGACUCAGGCUAGCCUGCGCAAAGUGAAAGACAGGCAAUUAGAUUGAAAAAUACCUGUGAUUCAAAGAAGUCACAAGUCACAGAGACAAACUUUUCCCAGUGUGUUCGAGUCAGAGAACCUUUGCAAAGACCAACAGGCUAAAAGAG
rnacentral:lncRNA from 1 species